rnacentral:lncRNA from 1 species
UGAUGAACUUGGUCAAAGAAGAAAUUCAAAGGUUAUGUGGCAAGCAAUAUCAAUGUGCUCAAGAAAUGGGGUCCCUUGUCACAAAGCAAACAUGUAUGCUGGAAAUUGGACAUUAAAUGAUAAUAGCCAUGGUUCUCACUAUUGGUGCUCUUUAGUCUAGAUACAUUUGCUUAAACUUGCACAUAAAAUUCCCUCAACAAUUGGAAGCUCAAUUAUUCUUUCAAAAAAAAAUUGGAAGCUCAAUAUAAAUUGUAAGGAAACCAUCCAAAGGGUCGUAAUUUGCUACUAGUGGUAACAAAGGGGAAACAAAUUAUUUUGGGAAGAAGUUCCAAAAUGGAACCUAAUACCUUCAUUGUACAACAAAAAUCAUUAGACAAUUGGAAAUUCUCUCUGCCUAUUUCCCUUCCUUAAUUCUAUUUCUAUGUAUAAAGGAAGUUACAAAAUGCAAUGUC